CUCCGCCCUACCCAGCAUGCUAGCUGUCACUAAAUUCCUGUGGCUGCUAUGCCUACCUCCUGGCUCUGUCAAGGCCUAUUCCUCUUAGCUGCGCUGAUCCAUGGGCUACAUGACAGGCGCACAGUCGGAUUUGCCGGCAUAUGAGCUAACCUUACCCAAACCCCCAUUAAAACACGGACACAGGUUAUACUGUUGGAAAUAAUUCGUCCACAGCUUUAUUAAAUUAUUAAUAAAAUAAUUAAGGAAUAACAAAUGGGGUAAUUGCCAACAAAUCUUAAUAAUGUUAACCUCCCCCAUAUACAUAACAUACCCCUAGCAAUGACCCCACAAUAAUAACAAUAGAUAACAAUCUAAAUAACAUGUUAACACAGAAAC